rnacentral:pre_miRNA from 1 species
AUUAAGUCUCUCUCUCUCUCUCUCUCUCUCUCUUGCGAUAUACGAAUAUAUAAAUUUAACGAGAGAGGAGAGAGAGAGAGAGAGAGAGAGGUGGAU